rnacentral:misc_RNA from 1 species
UGUAGGAGCCGGCUUGCUGGCGAUGAGGCCCUUGAGCCUUGCGGUGAAUUCAAGGCCGCCAUCGCCAGCAAGCCGGCUCCUACA